rnacentral:siRNA from 1 species
UCUCCAUUUGGGUGACACAUCAUC